UGGGGAAUUUUGGACAAUGGGCGAAAGCCUGAUCCAGCAAUGCCGCGUGUGUGAAGAAGGCCUUCGGGUUGUAAAGCACUUUUGUCCGGAAAGAAAUCCUUGGCUCUAAUACAGUCGGGGGAUGACGGUACCGGAAGAAUAAGCACCGGCUAACUACGUGCCAGCAGCCGCGGUAAUACGUAGGGUGCAAGCGUUAAUCGGAAUUACUGGGCGUAAAGCGUGCGCAGGCGGUUUGCUAAGACCGAUGUGAAAUCCCCGGGCUCAACCUGGGAACUGCAUUGGUGACUGGCAGGCUAGAGUAUGGCAGAGGGGGGUAGAAUUCCACGUGUAGCAGUGAAAUGCGUAGAGAUGUGGAGGAAUACCGAUGGCGAAGGCAGCCCCCUGGGCCAAUACUGACGCUCAUGCACGAAAGCGUGGGGAGCAAACAGGAUUAGAUACCCUGGUAGUCCACGCCCUAAACGAUGUCAGCUAGUUGUUGGGGAUUCAUUUCCUAGUAACGUAGCUAACGCGUGAAGUUGACCGCCUGGGGAGUACGGUCGCAAGAUUAAAACUC
rnacentral:rRNA from 1 species